GACGAGGGGUCCAAGCGUUGUUCGGAAUCACUGGGCGUAAAGCGCAUGUAGGUGGCUAAAUAAGUCUGUUGUGAAAGCCCUGGGCUCAACCCAGGAAGUGCAGCAGAUACUGCUUAGCUUGAGUAUGGGAGAGGGUAGUAGAAUUCCAGGUGUAGUGGUGAAAUACGUAGAUAUCUGGAGGAAUACCUGUGGCGAAGGCGGCUACCUGGCCCAAUACUGACACUGAGAUGCGAAAGCGUGGGGAUCAAACAGG
rnacentral:rRNA from 1 species